AAUAGUACGGGAAGAUGCUGGGAGGAUCAGCGAUUUUUAUCCUCCUUGGGUUUCUGCCCAGGCUAGUGCUGCUUUCGGGAGCCAUGGAAGACAAUCUGUAAACCUCAUCUUUGUCCUCAGGAACUCCCCCACACUUCUGCCAAGUCCGCCAGCCCUCUGCCAGCCUGAGGCAGCGAGGCGCCUGCGCCCGUAGGUGGCGCCCCACGUCCGUGUAGCGCAUCGCUUCGCUCUCCGGGCGCAGCUCGGAACCCCGCGCGAAGAGUCUCCCCGGGUCGUCCGGCACCGAGCCGCCGUUCUAAUAACUAUGCGCGGUGCCGACGCGCUCCGCAAGCACCAGAGGAAGACACUGAAACCCAGGCGGGAAGGCUCCUCUGUAAUCGCUGCCAAACCCUGACGCUUCCCAAACUGAAGAUUCUGGAACCAUCGCUCUAUCCAACUGAAGCUUUCUCGCUUUAUCCAUUUUUUUUAUCUUUUAUUUUUUCUUGUUCAUAAGUGGUUUUUCUUUUUACCCUCUGCCUCAAUUAUGAAAGUGGCCACUCCAUCCAAAAUUAAGACUUGGAGGGAAUUUGGAAAAGGCAAGAAAAACUCGGAAAGAAGAGCGGAUGCUGGUGCCUUUGAGGGUGCCUAGUUUUUUGUUAGGCAGGCGUCCGAGAGGAUUGCGCUCUGGGUGUCUGGCAGGACAACUUCUUCGUGGACCUCGGGGCUCGCCCAUCAUGGAUGUUCCAGGUUUGCUGGCGCAUUUCUUCUGAGAACCCACCGCCUUUGACCAUCACUGCAGGGGACCAAGACAAGGCAAUCCCCGAGGCUCUGCGCCGUCCUGCGGCGCCGCUCAGCCCUUUCCGCCCCCUCCGGCUCCGCGUCCGCGCGGCGCCCCC